rnacentral:rRNA from 1 species
GACGAACGCUGGCGGCGUGCUUAACACAUGCAAGUCGAACGGAAAGGCCCUGCUUUUGUGGGGUGCUCGAGUGGCGAACGGGUGAGUAACACGUGAGUAACCUGCCCUUGACUUUGGGAUAACUUCAGGAAACUGGGGCUAAUACCGGAUAGGAGCUCCUGCUGCAUGGUGGGGGCUGGAAAGUUUCGGCGGUUGGGGAUGGACUCGCGGCUUAUCAGCUUGUUGGUGGGGUAGUGGCUUACCAAGGCUUUGACGGGUAGCCGGCCUGAGAGGGUGACCGGCCACAUUGGGACUGAGAUACGGCCCAGACUCCUACGGGAGGCAGCAGUGGGGAAUAUUGCACAAUGGGCGGAAGCCUGAUGCAGCAACGCCGCGUGCGUGAUGACGGCCUUCGGGUUGUAAACCGCUUUCGCCUGUGACGAAGCGUGAGUGACGGUAAUGGGUAAAGAAGCACCGGCUAACUACGUG